AGAGUUUGAUCCUGGCUCAGGACGAACGCUGGCGGCGUGCCUAACACAUGCAAGUCGAACGGACUUACGGCUGACACGGAAGGCUUUUGAAGCCGGAAGAAAAAGGCCGGCAGCCCUAAGCGCGGCCCGGAAGCAGGAAGCGGACGGGAGCGAAGGGGAGCGCUUCACGCAAAAAAAGCGUGAGUAACACGACAAGGAAAAAGAGCCUUGCGUGUUGGUCGUAAGUCAGUGGCGGACGGGUGAGUAACGCGUGAGUAACCUGCCCUUCAGAGGGGGAUAACGUCUGGAAACGGACGCUAAUACCGCAUGAUAUUGCGGGGUCGCAUGGCUCUGCAAUCAAAGGAGCAAUCCGCUGAAGGAUGGACUCGCGUCCGAUUAGAUAGUUGGUGAGGUAACGGCUCACCAAGUCGACGAUCGGUAGCCGGACUGAGAGGUUGAACGGCCACAUUGGGACUGAGACACGGCCCAGACUCCUACGGGAGGCAGCAGUGGGGGAUAUUGCACAAUGGGCGAAAGCCUGAUGCAGCAACGCCGCGUGAGGGAAGACGGUUUUCGGAUUGUAAACCUCUGUUCUAAGUGACGAAACAAAUGACGGUAGCUUAGGAGAAAGCCCCGGCUAACUACGUGCCAGCAGCCGCGGUAAUACGUAGGGGGCAAGCGUUGUCCGGAAUUACUGGGUGUAAAGGGAGCGCAGGCGGAGAAGCAAGUCAGUGGUGAAAACGAUGGGCUUAACUCAUCGACUGCCAUUGAAACUGUUUCCCUUGAGUGAAGUAGAGGCAGGCGGAAUUCCGAGUGUAGCGGUGAAAUGCGUAGAUAUUCGGAGGAACACCAGUGGCGAAGGCGGCCUGCUGGGCUUUAACUGACGCUGAGGCUCGAAAGUGUGGGGAGCAAACAGGAUUAGAUACCCUGGUAGUCCACACUGUAAACGAUGAUUGCUAGGUGUGGGGGGUCUGACCCCUUCCGUGCCGGAGUUAACGCAAUAAGCAAUCCACCUGGGGAGUACGGCCGCAAGGUUGAAAC
rnacentral:rRNA from 1 species